rnacentral:rRNA from 1 species
AUAUCAGUCAUGCAUAGCAUAUCAAUAAGCGGAGGAAAAGAAACUAACAAGGAUUCCCUUAGUAGCGGCGAGUGAAGCGGGAAGAGCUCAAAUUUGAAAUCUUCAAGGUUUUACCUUGACGAAUUGUAGUUUAAAGAAGUGUUUUCUGUUGAAGUUUUGGUAAAAGUUCUUUGGAAUAGGACAUCAUAGAGGGUGAGAAUCCCGUAUUUGACCAUUACUUUCAGCUUUGUGAUACACUUUCAAAGAGUCGGAUUGUUUGGGAAUGCAGUCCAAAAUGGGUGGUAAAUUUCAUCUAAAGCUAAAUAUUGGCGAGAGACCGAUAGCGAACAAGUACCGUGAGGGAAAGAUGAAAAGAACUUUGAAAAGAGAGUUAAACAGUACGUGAAAUUGUCAAAAGGGAAGCGUUUGACACCAGUGUUGCUUUUCUCGAAAAUCAAUUAAAAAGAGUUGGAUUUUGUGUUGUAUUGACUUUAUCAGCUUUCUUCACUCUUUUCCAGCUUUUUUUAAUGCACUUUUCGUUUAACAAGUCAACAUCAGUUUCUUUUGUUGUAAAAAGGUCAUUGGAAGGUGGCUUUCUCUUCGGAGAAAGUGUCUAUAGCCUUUGACUCAUGCAAUCGGAGAGACUGAGGUCUGCAGCGUAGAUCCUUCGGGGUUAGAUACAUUUGUGCUAAGUUAUAGCUUUUCAUAGACAACUUGUUGACUAUGUUUAGUCUUGUAGCUUACUCGCUUAUGCUAUUUUACCUACGCUUAGGAUGUUGAACUCUAUCACACACAG